AGUGAACGCUGGCGGUAGGCCUAACGCAUGCAAGUCGAACGGCAGCACAGUAAGAGCUUGCUCUUACGGGUGGCGAGUGGCGGACGGGUGAGGAAUACAUCGGACUCUACUUUUUCGUGGGGGAUAACGUAGGGAAACUUACGCUAAUACCGCAUACGACCUACGGGUGAAAGAAGGGGAUCUUCGGACCUUGCGCGAUUGAAUGAGCCGAUGUCGGAUUAGCUAGUUGGCGGGGUAAAGGCCCACCAAGGCGACGAUCCGUAGCUGGUCUGAGAGGAUGAUCAGCCACACUGGAACUGAGACACGGUCCAGACUCCUACGGGAGGCAGCAGUGGGGAAUAUUGGACAAUGGGCGCAAGCCUGAUCCAGCCAUACCGCGUGGGUGAAGAAGGCCUUCGGGUUGUAAAGCCCUUUUGUUGGGAAAGAAAAGCAGCAGGUUAAUACCCCGCUGUUCUGACGGUACCCAAAGAAUAAGCACCGGCUAACUUCGUG
rnacentral:rRNA from 1 species